GUCCUGCAGGCCGGCCACACCUGGGAUGCCCACGCUUCCCUGACACUGGGCAGACAUCCCGUGCGGCGAGCCAGCCCUUUCAGCCCUCUUGGUUUCCCGAGCUCUGUGGUGUCUUAAGACACGGUGUUCGCAAUCACCCGUUUCCCCCGCGUUCUUGAGGCAGGAGCAGUGUCUGGUUUCUACCUACUUCUGCCUUCCUUGGAGGAGACGUCGGAUGGGAUCCUGACAGGAGCGAGACAGGCAUCCUAGACACGAGGACCAUCGUGGGUGGGGUUCCAGGGGACCCUUGUUGGAGUCCUUUACGGCAAAAACGGGAGCAUGGCCAGAUGUGUGAAAAGUUGCGGACACCAGUAAGAGUUGACUUAACUGGCUUUGGAGGGGACCCAAGCAUCAAGGUUUGCUCUCUGGGUUAUUCUAAUGUGUAACGAGGUCUGUAGGCAGUGGGUAGUUCCUCCACGGUUUUGAGCAGACGUCUGAGCCGAUCUGAUCUGUGCUUAAGACUCCGCCGGCUGCCGAGGGCAGAGUGAACUGGAGCUGGGGUCCUGGGUUCCCGGGGAUCCCAACCGACGGGAGUGGUUGCAGGGGAGUUUCUGAGCCUGACCACCACCAGGUCUUGUCACUAGCUGGGCAGUUAGUGAGAAGGAGGGCUCCAAACUGGCCCCUGGAAGAAGACCCACGAACCAGGAAGAGGGGACAGGGGCACAUGGGGAAGAGACACAGAGUCCCUGGGGGCCUGUCGGUCUGAGCUGCCUGGGCACGUGGGAGAGCCGGCCAGUGGGGGGGAGAGCAGGGCUGGUGUGCUGGGUUCCUGGGGAUGCCAGGGCAGCACAGAAGCCACCAAGUGAGGGGAGCGUCUCUCCUGUGGGCAGGGUGGCCACAGUGUUUUAGGCAGGGAACCCAGGCGCCCAGCAGCCAGCGGCCGGUGGUGUCUGAGGCUGACAAGGAAACGUGAGGCCAGGGCUGGUGGUGCCCCGGGGGGCGGGGGAAUGGUUUGUGUUGGAGGGUCCCAGCAGGGACCGGGAGCACAGGCAGGAGCGAGGCUUGCCAAGGAGCGAAGCCAUGUUUGUGCAGAAGAGGCGGAGGGGCGCACGCAGUGCUUAUUUACCCAGUGGUAGCUCAGAAUCGCGUCCGUUGACUCCUCUGUUCUCUCCCCUUCCCUGCGCCUGCUUAAAAACUGUAAAUUCACCGAACCUGCGUGUGGUCCUGAAUCGAACCCAGCAGUGGACCUGGCGCCGGCAGCAUUAGCCGUGUUGUCAGGGCGACCCGUCCCACCCGGUCCGUUCCCGCGGUUCUGCGCUCGUCUCGCUCCUUCCUGCGGAGUUUGCUUACGCGCGUGUACGAAGCCACAAGCGUGCCAUGUAACGCUUGCUUUGGAAGUUGUAGUAAUGCGUCACACACGCGGGCUUCUGGUCUGGGAGUGGUUCUCACUCGUCACUGUGCAGAGCUGCCCCACGGCGCUCUGUGUGGUCCCUGCGCGUGACCUGUCCGCAGUAGCUGGCGCGGGAGUGCGAGACGGCGUCGUUACCAUCGUCUUGUACGCGGCCAGCGAGGUGGUUUGGGUUCUUAGGAAAAGGGCUGGUUCCCUGGUGCCCUGCGCUGGAGCCCGAGGGUAGCGCCGCAGGAUCCCAGGACGCAGAGCUGGGGGCAGCCUCGUUCCCACGCGGCGGUCAGCUCGCGUCCCCACUGCGCUCUGGCGGCCCCGAGCCUCGUGUCCUGGUCUCUGGGGGUCUGCGUGAAGGUGUGUGCGGCAGCCCCGGCUGUGGUCUCAACCUGCAUCCUUCGCGGAGCCCCUCGGGUCACGCUGUGUCCCUGUUUCCCUGCUGGCGUGCCUGCUCCUCUCAGAAGCGCCCGCGUGGCGCCCGUCCGUCCCCACUGGGCCGUGACCUUCCGAUGGGUGCUACUGCCUCGGCCUCGGAGUGCCCGUGCUGGUGUGUUACCCACGUCCUCGCUUACGUUUGGCCGUGUUCUUGUCAUCUUUACGAAACCGUAGAUGAACGGAGUUCUUCGUUUUAGGAAAGCCUUGCCUAACCCGGGAUGAUAACAACCGCUUCCUUUUUACUUGCGGAAGUCGGUAAAACUGCCUUCCAUGGCCAAGUGAUCGUAGUAAGAGAUGGAGGUUUCAUAUGGGGUGUGAGGUGGUGAUCGGAUUUCCUUCCCGUGGGGAUAGGCCGUUGUCCCGGCCCCAGUGUGGAAAAGCGUGUCCCGUUUCUGCGGACCUGCGGCGCAUCCCUGGGGUGCGGCAAGUGCCUGUAAAGGCAUGAGCCUCUUGUGGACUUUGUCCUGCUUUGUUCUUGGACUCUGAACUGCCGUAGCUUCACAGGAAGUCAUGACCUCUGGGAAGUUCCUUUGCGUGGGUUGUGGCUAUUCUUGGCCUUUGCUUUCUCCUAAGUUCUAUAAUUAGUGCGUCAGUUUUAUUGAUAAAACCUGUUAGAGUUUUGAUCCGAACUGUACGGAGACUAGAGAUCAGCUUGGGAGGGACAUCGCUGUGACUUGGAUUGUGCCAUCCGUAAGCCUGUGUCGGCCUACUUACGUAGGCUCGCUCUGAGGUCUUCCAACGGGAUUGCGUGGUUUUCUCCAUAUAGGACGUGCACAUUUUUUGUUAGAUCUAUUCCUAGUUUAUUUUCUUGCUGGUACUUUGGUUGAUACUUAAAAAAACCAACAAACCCGACUUCUUCUAGUUGAUUGUUGCUGGCAUAGAAAAGUGCCGUAGAUUGUUGUGAUCUGACGUUAUACCUGGUAAUCUUUCCAAAUUCUUUUCUAUUUAAUUCAUUAAUUUUGGCUUAUUUUCUUUUCAAGGAAAACUACAAUAACAGACAAGUCUUACCGAGCAUCAUUUUUGCCUCCUUUCAGGGUUUUGAGAUGUGAUCUUCUUGUGGCCAAUCACGCAGUUGCGCUUCUGUGUUCUGCUCUCACUUGGCGAAUCAGUUAGAGUCGAUCGUAAAAUGUCCACACGUGGGAGUGAGUCUUUCUCCAUCCUUCUGUGGUGGAUUUCCAGAUGAAUUGCGUCAUCGUCAGACGGCAUAAUCUGAAUGAUGCUACUUUUUUGAAAUGUAAUGCGGUCAGAAUAAUUGUGCGCUUCAGAAGAAUGAGUAUUUUUUCCUUAUUUGAUUCAGGUUCUGCAUCUACCCGGUACGUCAGCCCUCCUGAACGCGUUGUUCAGCUCUUGCAGGUUUACACCGUUUUCUGUUGGAGCAGCAGCGUCUGCGAGAGCCACGUUGAGAUCUUGUCUGCGGCCGCGGAUUCGCCCACUCUCCCUGUCGUCUUACUGCGCGCUUGUGUAACGUGUGUGCUUGUGCGCGUGUCUGCGUUUGGGGGGAGAGGCUGCUGUGAAAGGAGCACACACGUAGUACUUUUAUGUCCUUGGGUAACUGAGCCUUCUUCGUUGCGUGGAGCCCUCUGUACCCUGGACAAUGCUUGGCUCUUCUAGUGUCUCUGCUUUGAAGUAACAUGACCAGCAUAACUUCCUUUGUUCCUGAGAUUUGGGUUCUUUCUUUGUCAGAGAGAGAGUGAGCGCACGCGCAGGGGGAGGGGCAGCGGGAGAAGCAGGCCCCCUGCUGAGCAGCGAGCCCGAUGCGACGCGGGGUUCGAUGCGAUGCGGGGUUCGGUGCCGGGACCCCGGGACCAUGACCUGAGCCGAAGGCAGACGCUCCACCGACUGAGCCACCAGGCGCCCGUCGUGACUUUAUGUUCAAGCACGUUUGCCGGUGCACUCUGCAUUUUUACUUGUAACGUUUGUUCACCUUAAGUGUAGACAUUCGUGCUGUGAACCCACAAAGCUGGUCCGUCUUUCAGCCGCGGAGUCCAGUGUGUUCCUGUCGAAUCUCAGGUCCCAGGGUGCCUGGGGGCUCAGUCAUCCAGCCUCUGCCUUCGGCUCAGGUCAUGAUCUCAGGGUCCUGGGACCGAGCCCCGCGUCGGGCUCCCGGCCUCCCCCGCUCCCUCUCCCACUCCCCCUGCUGGUGUUCCCUCUCUCGCUGUCUCUGUCUGUCAAAUAAAUAAGAAUCUCCUGUUGCUGCGGGUUCUCCUUUCUCAUCUCUUCCCUUUCGGUGAUGCGUGACAUCUGCUUUUCUGUUUAUUCACUUUUCACUCUACUUUUAUCCUUUUGGUGAUCGCCACUGAAAUUUUACUUUGUAUUAUAUUCCUACCUUAAUAAACGUAAAGUUGAUAUUCCAGUUCCUUUGCGAACAAUACAUAGAUCUUAAAGUACCGUACCCACCUCUGCUCUUCUCUGGACUUCCGUGCGGAAAUUGUGCAGAAUUUUAGUUCUGCAUCUUAGGUCCCCAAAUUACGUACUCUUGUUACUCUGUAGGCAAUGUUUGUUUUUAUGUGAUGUAUAUUGACCACUGUAUCUGGUCAGCAUUUUCCUCACAUUUCAUGUCUUCCUUUUUUUAAGCGAUGAAUAGCUUGCUAGGAAAAAGAAAGAUUCAAAUGGAGAGGAAACUUCCUGUUGAAGUGAGGGAUCUCGCACACACGUCUGGCGCAUUCCAACGGGUCGCCCCCUCGUGCCCCGUGCACUUCUCCGCGCCGUGCGUGUGCGCACCUCCCCGUCUGCUUACGGAAUUGGUGCCGGCCUUCUCGGGUUCUGCUGGAGGGAAACCCUCGGCUUCUGUUCACCCGAGAGUGCUUUAUUUGGCGCUUACCGUGGGCAGCCGGCGCCGGUGCUGUGCAGCCAGAGGAAGACGUGCUCUUUCCUGAGGACACAUUUCCCGUUGGAUUCUCGUUUCUGUGUUCUGUUGCGGAAGGUCCGUUGGUCUGACCGGGGCUGACCCGUCUCCUCUUUGUCUUCGGUGUUCUGCAGUUUUGUCUCAGUUCUGGCGACACUGCGUUGUGUUCCGUGUGCGUAAGUUCCCGGGCGUCGUCCGCUCGCGGAGUUCACUGCGUUUUCCCUCUCGAACUCUCCCCGCUGCGGGGCCUCCCGUUCGCGGACCACCCUGCGGCCGCGUGCAGUCUGCCGUCUAACGCGUCUUUCGAGGCUUCAAAAAUACUAGUUCUAUUUGGAUAGUUUUCAAAUUUGCCUGUUCGUUGAUAGCCUGUUUUUACUUGCUCAUUUAUUCUUUUUUCCUUAACAGUUCACAGCUCAUUUUUAAGAUUCGGCAUCCGACAUGUAAGGCCUCGGUGUCACUGUGGGCUCCGUCUGUGUGGCCGUCGCUGUUGCGGACUCUUGCUCUCACAGAAUGUCAGAUCAAAGAAUCCUGGGGAAAGCGUGUUGAACAGGAGCCAUGGGUGUGGUUCGAGACACACGGACAGCUUCAGUCUCCGUCGUGCAGACCGCCGCUCCCUGCCUCCUGCUGCCGCAGCUUCCUGCAGGUCCUUCCUGCCCUUGGGGGGCACAGCGAAGUGGGGGUUUGUAUCGUCACCACGAAUGCCAGAACUCUCCGUCCCGAGAAAGGAGCGGUGUGGGGGUGGGGAGGCGGGGGGGCCUCACCUCACUGGCUUCCCCGUGUACCGUCGGGGACGGCGCUCCACCAGCGGGCUCUCCCGAGUACCCAACAGUAACGUCAGUAAAUGCUUUAGGUAACGGAGCGCACAAGUGGCACGGGCGGCCCACAGCGUGGGGCCUCGACACCCGAGGUCGGGGUGGCGCCGGAUUGCAGGAGGGCUGCGUCCCGGUCCCUCGACCACCGUGAGGACGGGAACGUGCAUCUUCUCUCCUAUGGUUUGGGAGUCUCCAACCUGCUCGUCCACGGGGGUCGUUCCAGCGCCAGAGCCCUUCUCCCAGGCCUCUGAAGCAAGAGGCCUGUGAUGGACGCCCUGCGGUCGGGUCGUGCGGGGGAACUUCCUCCCGCUGCUAAUGCAAUCAGGAAGCCGGCCCUUGAUAGAAUUAGAGGCCCAGGGUGCGGGCGCGGGGGGACGAGCCUCUCCCCCUGCGUGCACUGGGAAGGAGGGGCAGGUAGCAGUUGGUGGGAUUUAGCCAGUCAUUGUGAAACCUGGAAAUCAGGUUUUGGAAAAUAAAUUGGAAUAGAUGA